rnacentral:tRNA from 1 species
GGUCCGUUGGCCCAAUGGUAAGGCGUCUGACUACGACUUCAAGCAGUUAUCAGGAGAUUCUGGGUUCGACCCCCAGGCGGACCU